rnacentral:rRNA from 1 species
UACGAAAGGUCCAAGCGUUAAUCGGAAUUACUGGGCGUAAAGCGUGCGCAGGCGGUUGUGCAAGACAGAUGUGAAAUCCCCGGGCUUAACCUGGGAACUGCAUUUGUGACUGCACAGCUGGAGUGCGGCAGAGGGGGAUGGAAUUCCGCGUGUAGCAGUGAAAUGCGUAGAUAUGCGGAGGAACACCGAUGGCGAAGGCAAUCCCCUGGGCCUGCACUGACGCUCAUGCACGAAAGCGUGGGGAGCAAACAGG